UGGACGCAAGUCUGAUGGAGCAACGCCGCGUGAGUGAAGAAGGUUUUCGGAUCGUAAAGCUCUGUUGUUGGUGAAGAAAGAUAGUGAGAGUAACUGCUCAUUAUUUGCCGGUAAUCAACCAGAAAGUCACGGCUAACUACGUGCCAGCAGCCGCGGUAAU
rnacentral:rRNA from 1 species